GGAUCGAAAGAGUCCACCGGAUGAGAGCGGAAGUGUUGGACAAGGGACGCCGCACGCGGACGCUGCUCAGGGCUCGCAAACACGCGAGUGAACGGAGUGGCUGCUGGUUCACUCACUGCCCGGGAAGGUGGAUCAGUGAAGCUAUACUGACUGGGAGAACGGGGGAGUCGACUCGCCCUUCCACAAACUUAAGUAUCCGCGCGCUGGAAACCACGUGGCCCUGUAGCUGA
rnacentral:lncRNA from 1 species